UUUUAUUUUAUUUUUUAUUUUAUUUUUGUAAAUGUAGGAGAACGAGCCAAAGUGGCUCAAAUUGCAAUUGCAAGCCUUACAAACCAUUCAUAGAAAUGGUCAUUUAAGGCAAGAGUCACUCACAAGGACUCUAUUAGAUAACUAGCAAUUGCCCAGCAAAUGCUGGGUGGUUGGCAAAUUUGAUGCCAUUUGAAGAGGUUUUCUAAGCUUAGCUAUGUUUGCUGUUUGAUCAACUCCACAAUUGAAAGACAUUCUCAUAACGAAAUGUGUUAUGAGCAUUAUAUAAGCUAGAUUAGAUAACUGUUGAGUUGCAU
rnacentral:lncRNA from 1 species